UACGUAGGCAGCGAGCGUUGUUCGGAGUUACUGGGCGUAAAGAGUGCGUAGGCGGUUUUCUAAGUUUGGUGUGAAAUCUCCCGGCUUAACUGGGAGGGUGCGCCGAAGACUGGAAGGCUUGAGUAUGGGAGAGGUAAGCGGAAUUCCUGGUGUAGCGGUGAAAUGCGUAGAUAUCAGGAGGAACACCCAUGGCGAAGGCAGCAAACUGGGCAUCAACUGACGCUGAGGCGCGAAAGCGUGGGUAGCAAACAGG
rnacentral:rRNA from 1 species